GUUUUCCAGGCAAAUCCGGAAAAUCAAGGCUGAGGCGUGAUGACGAGGCACUACGGUGCUGAAGCAACAAAUGCCCUGCUUCCAGGAAAAGCCUCUAAGCAUCAGGUAACAUCAAAUCGUACCCCAAACCGACACAGGUGGUCAGGUAGAGAAUACCAAGGCGCUUGAGAGAACUCGGGUGAAGGAACUAGGCAAAAUGGUGCCGUAACUUCGGGAGAAGGCACGCUGAUAUGUAGGUGAAGCGACUUGCUCGUGGAGCUGAAAUCAGUCGAAGAUACCAGCUGGCUGCAACUGUUUAUUAAAAACACAGCACUGUGCAAACACGAAAGUGGACGUAUACGGUGUGACGCCUGCCCGGUGCCGGAAGGUUAAUUGAUGGGGUUAGCGCAAGCGAAGCUCUUGAUCGAAGCCCCGGUAAACGGCGGCCGUAACUAUAACGGUCCUAAGGUAGCGAAAUUCCUUGUCGGGUAAGUUCCGACCUGCACGAAUGGCGUAAUGAUGGCCAGGCUGUCUCCACCCGAGACUCAGUGAAAUUGAACUCGCUGUGAAGAUGCAGUGUACCCGCGGCAAGACGGAAAGACCCCGUGAACCUUUACUAUAGCUUGACACUGAACAUUGAGCCUUGAUGUGUAGGAUAGGUGGGAGGCUUUGAAGUGUGGACGCCAGUCUGCAUGGAGCCGACCUUGAAAUACCACCCUUUAAUGUUUGAUGUUCUAACGUUGGCCCGUUAUCCGGGUUGCGGACAGUGUCUGGUGGGUAGUUUGACUGGGGCGGUCUCCUCCUAAAGAGUAACGGAGGAGCACGAAGGUUGGCUAAUCCUGGUCGGACAUCAGGAGGUUAGUGCAAUGGCAUAAGCCAGCUUGACUGCGAGCGUGACGGCGCGAGCAGGUGCGAAAGCAGGUCAUAGUGAUCCGGUGGUUCUGAAUGGAAGGGCCAUCGCUCAACGGAUAAAAGGUACUCCGGGGAUAACAGGCUGAUACCGCCCAAGAGUUCAUAUCGACGGCGGUGUUUGGCACCUCGAUGUCGGCUCAUCACAUCCUGGGGCUGAAGUAGGUCCCAAGGGUAUGGCUGUUCGCCAUUUAAAGUGGUACGCGAGCUGGGUUUAGAACGUCGUGAGACAGUUCGGUCCCUAUCUGCCGUGGGCGCUGGAGAACUGAGGGGGGCUGCUCCUAGUACGAGAGGACCGGAGUGGACGCAUCACUGGUGUUCGGGUUGUCAUGCCAAUGGCACUGCCCGGUAGCUAAAUGCGGAAGAGAUAAGUGCUGAAAGCAUCUAAGCACGAAACUUGCCCCG
rnacentral:rRNA from 1 species